rnacentral:tRNA from 1 species
AUUUAUAUAGUUUAAAAAAAACGUUAUAUUUUCACUAUAAAAAUAGAUUCAAUCUUAUAAAUU